AUGCCGGCAAGGAAGUUGCUGGGUACCGCAAGUUUUCCCUGGGAGCAGCAACCUCCGGCAGGACCCCAAGCCCUUGUUGUAGAGAUAGUUGCCCCCACGGAAGAAUACAUGCCUUCAGUCCUUGCCGUCGAGCCUCAGGCUCCAGCAUGGGCACAUCAUACUAUUCAUUUCCUCCAAACAGGGGAGCUCGCUGAGGAGCAGGAAGAAGCAGAAAAAGUAGCCCGUCGGUCCAGCAUGUACCAGUUUGUGGAUGACGUCCUAUACAGAAGGAGACCGAACGGCUUGAAAUUGAAGUGUAUUCCUUGGGAGGACGGACUAAAGCAGUUGGCAGAGAUACAUGGAAGCAUAUGUGGCUCCCACUUAGGGUCAAGAGCCCUUGCCGGCAAGGCAUUCCGGCAAGGUUUCUUCUGGCCCACUGCCCUCCAGGAUGCAAUGACACUAGUAACCAAGUGUGAAGCGUGCCAGUUCCAUUCAAAGAAGCUUCAUCAACCAACCCAGGCUCUUCAAACAAUUCCUGUUUCCUGGCCAUUUUUGGUAUGGGGGCUCGACAUACUGGGCCCCUUUCCCCAUGUUGUCGAGGGCUUUGAGUACUUGUAUGUUGCGAUUGACAAGUUCACAAAGUGCCCAGAGGUGGAACCAGUAAGAAAGGUGAUAGCGCAGUCGGCUGUCAAGUUCUUCAAGGGACUCAUUUGCCGUUUUGGUGUGCCGAACACAGUUUAG
rnacentral:rRNA from 1 species